AUGAACGCUGGCGGCGUGCCUAAUACCUGCAAGUCGAGCGAACGGACGAGAAGCUUGCUUUUCUGAUGUUAGCGGCGGACGGGUGAGUAACCCGUGGAUAACCUACCUAUAAGACUGGGAUAACUUCGGGAAACCGGAGCUAAUACCGGAUAAUAUUUUGAACCGCCUGGUUCAAAAGUGAAAGACGGUCUUGCUGUCACUUAUAGAUGGAUCCGCGCUGCAUUAGCUAGUUGGUAAGGUAACGGCUUACCAAGGCAACGAUGCAUAGCCGACCUGAGAGGGUGAUCGGCCACACUGGAACUGAGACACGGUCCAGACUCCUACGGGAGGCAGCAGUAGGGAAUCUUCCGCAAUGGGCGAAAGCCUGACGGAGCAACGCCGCGUGAGUGAUGAAGGUCUUCGGAUCGUAAAACUCUGUUAUUAGGGAAGAACAUAUGUGUAAGUAACUGUGCACAUCUUGACGGUACCUAAUCAGAAAGCCACGGCUAACUACGUG
rnacentral:rRNA from 1 species